rnacentral:rRNA from 1 species
GACGAACGCUGGCGGCGUGCUUAACACAUGCAAGUCGAACGGAAAGGGCCUGGUUUGGUGGUGUGCUCUAGUGGCGAACGGGUGAGUAACACGUGAGUAACCUGCCCUUGACUUUGGGAUAACUUCAGGAAACUGGGGCUAAUACCGGAUAGGAGCUCCUGCGGCAUGGGUGGGGGUGGAAAGGUUCUGCGGUUGGGGAUGGACUCGCGGCUUAUCAGCUUGUUGGUGGGGUAGUGGCUUACCAAGGCGUUGACGGGUAGCCGGCCUGAGAGGGUGACCGGCCACAUUGGGACUGAGACACGGGCCAGACUCCUACGGGGGGCAGCAGUGGGGAAUAUUGCACAAUGGGCGGAAGCCUGAUGCAGCAACGCCGCGGGGGGGAGGACGGCCUUCGGGUUGUAAACCCCUUUUAGCCGGGAAGAAGCGAAAGGGACGGGACAUGCAGAAAAAGCGCCGGCUAACUACGUG